GGCGGUUCUGCCGCCGCGAGCUGCAGGUCCCGGGCUCCGGCGUGCGGCGGCUGGAACAGAAGAGGGUGCUGCCGCCCCGGGCUGGCAGCGAGCUCCGCAGGUCGCCGCGGAGUAAACAUGAAGUUACCCCAGUAUGAAGGAGGAAGCCUUUCCCCAGCUUGAGACAUCUCAUGUGCUGAUUUCUUGUAACUCGUAUCCCUGCACUUUCAUUUGCACUAUGUACUUCAAACACACGGACCUUCUGGGAGCGUGUAGUCUGUGAUCCAGGGAGGGGAUAUAUACUUAGCACCUCUUGAACAGCCC
rnacentral:lncRNA from 1 species